CCUGGUCAACAGCUUGGCCAGCCAAUUUAACUGGGCUGGAAAGGGGGAAAAAACUGCGUUUAAGGACACCAAGAUCCAUGAUGUCCUGUUUGAUGCUCUACAAAAGCAGCUGCCAGGGAGCACACACGCUACUUUUAGUGACGCAAUCAAGAAGUGGCUUAAGUAUGCGCCAGAGAGAGAGGGAGGGAUGAGGAGACGUGAGGUGUCUGCGCCGCAGGAGGAAUAUAGGCCACAAUUAUAAAUUAUAA